GACUGUAGGCUGCAACUCGCCUACACGAAGCUGGGAUCGCUAGUAAUCGCGGAUCAGCACGCCGCGGUGAAUACGUUCCCGGGCCUUGUACACACCGCCCGUCACACCAUGAGAGUCUGUAACACCCAAAGCCGGUGGGAUAACCUUUAUAGGAGUCAGCCGUCUAAGGUAGGACAGAUGAUUAGGGUGAAGUCGUAACAAGGUAAC
rnacentral:rRNA from 1 species